rnacentral:rRNA from 1 species
UACGUAGGCAGCGAGCGUUGUUCGGAAUUACUGGGCGUAAAGCGUGCGCAGGCGGUUAUGUAAGACAGAUGUGAAAUCCCCGGGCUCAACCUGGGAACUGCAUUUGUGACUGCAUAGCUAGAGUACGGUAGAGGGGGAUGGAAUUCCGCGUGUAGCAGUGAAAUGCGUAGAUAUGCGGAGGAACACCGAUGGCGAAGGCAAUCCCCUGGACCUGUACUGACGCUCAUGCACGAAAGCGUGGGGAGCAAACAGG